AUUGAACGCUGGCGGCAGGCCUAACACAUGCAAGUCGAACGAUCCUUCGGGAUAGUGGCGGACGGGUGAGUAACACGUGGGAACGUGCCCUUUGGUUCGGAAUAACUCAGGGAAACUUGAGCUAAUACCGGAUGUGCCCUUCGGGGGAAAGAUUUAUCGCCAUUGGAGCGGCCCGCGUUGGAUUAGCUAGUUGGUGGGGUAAAGGCCCACCAAGGCUACGAUCCAUAGCUGGUCUGAGAGGAUGAUCAGCCACACUGGGACUGAGACACGGCCCAGACUCCUACGGGAGGAAGCAGUGGGGAAUCUUGCGCAAUGGGCGAAAGCCUGACGCAGCCAUGCCGCGUGAAUGAUGAAGGUCUUAGGAUUGUAAAAUUCUUUCACCGGGGACGAUAAUGACGGUACCCGGAGAAGAAGCCCCGGCUAACUUCGUGCCAGCCGCCGCUGUAACAC
rnacentral:rRNA from 1 species